rnacentral:rRNA from 1 species
GACGAACGCUGGCGGCGUGCUUAACACAUGCAAGUCGAGCGGUAAGGCUCCUUCGGGAGUACACGAGCGGCGAACGGGUGAGUAACACGUGAGUAAUCUGCCCUUCACUUCGGGAUAACCACCGGAAACGGUGGCUAAUACCGAAUACGACCAGUCUUCGCAUGAGGUGCUGGUGGAAAGUCUUUUCGGUGAAGGAUGUGCUCGCGGCCUAUCAGCUUGUUGGUGGGGUAAUGGCCUACCAAGGCUUCGACGGGUAGCCGGCCUGAGAGGGUGACCGGCCACACUGGGACUGAGACACGGCCCAGACUCCUACGGGAGGCAGCAGUGGGGAAGAUUGGACAAUGGGCGAAAGCCUGAUCCAGCAACGCCGCGUGAGGGAUGACGGCCUUCGGGUUGUAAACCUCUUUCAGUACCGACGAAGCGCCCUGUCGGGUGGUGACGGUAGGUACAGAAGAAGGACCGGCCAACUACGUG